rnacentral:rRNA from 1 species
UACGUAGGGAGCAAGCGUUGUCCGGAAUCAUUGGGCGUAAAGCGCGCGUAGGCGGCCCUGUAAGUCCGUUGUGAAAGUCAAAGGCUCAACCUUUGAAAGCCGAUGGAUACUGCAGGGCUAGAGUCCGGAAGAGGCGAGUGGAAUUCCUGGUGUAGAGGUGAAAUUCGUAGAUAUUAGGAAGAACACCAGUGGCGAAGGCGGCUCACUGGUCCGGUACUGACGCUGAGGUGCGAAAGCGUGGGGAGCAAACAGG